UCUAUGGGUGUCUAUGGGGUCUCUAUGGGGCAAUAGGGUCUCUAUAGGGUCUCUAUGGGGUGUCUAUGGGUGUCUAUGGGGUCUCUAUGGGGCAAUGGGGUCUCUAUGGGUCUCUAUGGGGUGUCUAUGGGUCUCCUAUGGGUCCUAUGGGGUCACUAUAGGUUCUAUGUGUCCCUAUGUCUGCCCUAUGGUUCCCUAUGGGGUCCCUAUGGUUCCCCUAUGGGAUGCUCUAUGUGUCCCUAGUGUCUCUGUGUGUCCCUAUGUAUCUCUAUGUGUCUCUAAUGGGGUGUCUAUGGGGGGUAUAUGGGGGUAUAUGGGGUGAUACGGGGUUAUAGGGUUGAAUAUGGAGUUAUAUGGGGUUAUAUGGGGUUAUAUGGGGUUAUAGGGCCAUAUAUGGGGUUAUAGGGUUGAAUAUGGGCUUAUAGGGCCAUAUUUGGGGUUAUAGGGUCGAAUAUGGGGUUAUAGGGUCGAAUAUGGGCUUAUAGGGUCUAAUAUGAGUCUAUAGGGUCGAAUAUGGGGUUAUAUGGGGUUAUAGGGCCAUAUUUGGGGUUAUAGAGUCUGAAUAUGGGGUUAUAGGGUAGAAUAUGGGGUUAUAGGGUCUGAAUAUGGGGUUAUAGGGCUGAAUAUGGGGUUAUAGGGCCAUAUUUGGGGUUAUAGGGUUGAAUAUGGGGUUAUAGGGUCGAAUAUGGGGUUAUAGGGUCUGAAUAUGGGGUUAUAGGGUUGAAUAUGGGGUUAUAGGGCCAUAUAUGGGGUUAUAGGGCCAUAUAUGGGUUAUAGGGCUGAAUAUGGGGUUAUAGGGCCAUAUAUGGUGUUAGAUGGUCAUAUAUGGGGUUAUACGGCCAUAUUUGAGGUUAUAGGGUCGAAUAUGGGAUUAUAUGGGGUUAUAGGGCCAUAUUUGGGGUUAUAGGGUCGAAUAUGGGGUUAUAGGGCUGAAUAUGGGGUUAUAUGGGGUUAUAGGGUUGAAUACGGGGUUAUAUGGCAACAUUUGGGGUUAUAGGGUCUGAAUAUGGGGUUAUAUGGGGUUAUAGGGUUGAAUAUGGGGUUAUAGGGCCAUAUAUGGGGUUAUAGGGUUGAAUAUGGGCUUAUAGGGCCAUAUAUGGGGUUAUGGGGCUGAAUAUGGGGUUAUAGGGCCGAAUAUGGGGUUAUAGGGUUGAAUAUGGGAUUAUAGGGCCAUAUAUGGGGUUAUAGGGCCAUAUUUGGGGUUAUAGGGUUGAAUAUGGGCUUAUAGGGCCACAUAUGGGGUUAUAGGGUUGAAUAUGGGGUUAUAUGGGCUUAUAGGGCCAUAUUUGGGGUUAUAGGGUUGAAUAUGGGGUUAUAGGGCU
rnacentral:lncRNA from 1 species